ACUCCCUACGGGAGGCAGCAGUGGGGAAUAUUGCACAAUGGGCGCAAGCCUGAUGCAGCCAUGCCGCGUGUGUGAAGAAGGCCUUCGGGUUGUAAAGCACUUUCAGUCGUGAGGAAGUAGUAGUAGUUAAUAGCUGCAUUAUUUGACGUUAGCGACAGAAGAAGCACCGGCUAACUCCGUGCCAGCAGCCGCGGUAAUACGGAGGGUGCGAGCGUUAAUCGGAAUUACUGGGCGUAAAGCGCAUGCAGGUGGUUUGUUAAGUCAGAUGUGAAAGCCCGGGGCUCAACCUCGGAAUUGCAUUUGAAACUGGCAGACUAGAGUACUGUAGA
rnacentral:rRNA from 1 species